UGUAGGACUGCAAUGUGGACUCAAAGAUUAUAGAAGAAUGAUUUGGGAAGAUCAGCCAAAGAGAGUAAUAGCCUCGUAUUUAAAAUAGUCUUUGUACCUAGCAGUAUCCUGAGUACGGCGGGACACGUGAAAUCCCGUCGGAAUCUGGGAGGACCAUCUCCCAACCCUAAAUACUCCCUAGUGACCGAUAGUGAACCAGUACCGUGAGGGAAAGGUGAAAAGCACCCCGGGAGGGGAGUGAAAUAGAACCUGAAACCGUGUGCCUACAACAAGUUCGAGCCCGUUAAUGGGUGAGAGCGUGCCUUUUGUAGAAUGAACCGGCGAGUUACGUUAUGAUGCGAGGUUAAGUUGAAGAGACGGAGCCGUAGGGAAACCGAGUCUGAAUAGGGCGCCUUAGUAUCAUGACGUAGACCCGAAACCAUGUGACCUACCCAUGAGCAGGUUGAAGGUGCGGUAAGACGCACUGGAGGACCGAACCAGGGCACGUUGAAAAGUGCUUGGAUGACUUGUGGGUAGCGGAGAAAUUCCAAACGAACUUGGAGAUAGCUGGUUCUCUCCGAAAUAGCUUUAGGGCUAGCGUCGACAUUAGAGAUUCUUGGAGGUAGAGCACUGUUUGGGUGAGGGGUCCAUCCCGGAUUACCAAUCUCAGAUAAACUCCGAAUGCCAAUGAAUUAUGGUCGGCAGUCAGACUGCGAGUGCUAAGAUCCGUAGUCGAAAGGGAAACAGCCCAGACCACCAGCUAAGGUCCCAAAAUAAUUGUUAAGUGGAAAAGGAUGUGGGGUUGCACAGACAACUAGGAUGUUAGCUUAGAAGCAGCUAUUCAUUCAAAGAGUGCGUAAUAGCUCACUAGUCGAGUGACCCUGCGCCGAAAAUGUACCGGGGCUAAAACAAUUUACCGAAGCUGUGGAUACCUUUAUAGGUAUGGUAGGAGAGCGUUCUAUGUGUGAUGAAGGUAUACCGUGAGGAGUGCUGGAACGCAUAGAAGUGAGAAUGCCGGUAUGAGUAGCGAAAGACAGGUGAGAAUCCUGUCCACCGUAAGACUAAGGUUUCCAGGGGAAGGCUCGUCCGCCCUGGGUUAGUCGGGACCUAAGGAGAGACCGAAAGGUGUAUCCGAUGGACAACAGGUUGAUAUUCCUGUACUAGAGUAUGUAGUGAUGGAGGGACGCAGUAGGCUAACUAAAGCAGACGAUUGGAAGAGUCUGUCUAAGCAGUGAGGUGUGAAUUGAGUCAAAUGCUUAAUUCUAUAACAUUGAGCUGUGAUGGGGAGCGAAGUUUAGUAGCGAAGUUAGUGACGUCACACUGCCAAGAAAAGCUUCUAGCGUUUAAACAUACUCUACCCGUACCGCAAACCGACACAGGUAGUCGAGGCGAGUAGCCUCAGGUGAGCGAGAGAACUCUCGUUAAGGAACUCGGCAAAAUGACCCCGUAACUUCGGGAGAAGGGGUGCUGACUUAAAGUCAGCCGCAGUGAAUAGGCCCAAGCAACUGUUUAUCAAAAACACAGCUCUCUGCUAAAUCGUAAGAUGAUGUAUAGGGGGUGACGCCUGCCCGGUGCUGGAAGGUUAAGAGGAGUGCUUAGCGUAAGCGAAGGUAUGAAUUGAAGCCCCAGUAAACGGCGGCCGUAACUAUAACGGUCCUAAGGUAGCGAAAUUCCUUGUCGGGUAAGUUCCGACCCGCACGAAAGGCGUAAUGAUUUGGGCACUGUCUCAACGAGAGACUCGGUGAAAUUUUAGUACCUGUGAAGAUGCAGGUUACCCGCGACAGGACGGAAAGACCCCAUGGAGCUUUACUGCAGUUUGAUAUUGAGUGUCUGUACCACAUGUACAGGAUAGGUAGGAGUCUAAGAAAUCGGGACGCCAGUUUCGAAGGAGACGCUGUUGGGAUACUACCCUUGUGUUAUGGCCACUCUAACCCAGAUAGGUGAUCCCUAUCGGAGACAGUGUCUGACGGGCAGUUUGACUGGGGCGGUCGCCUCCUAAAAGGUAACGGAGGCGCCCAAAGGUUCCCUCAGAAUGGUUGGAAAUCAUUCGCAGAGUGUAAAGGUAUAAGGGAGCUUGACUGCGAGAGCUACAACUCGAGCAGGGACGAAAGUCGGGCUUAGUGAUCCGGUGGUUCCGUAUGGAAGGGCCAUCGCUCAACGGAUAAAAGCUACCCUGGGGAUAACAGGCUUAUCUCCCCCAAGAGUUCACAUCGACGGGGAGGUUUGGCACCUCGAUGUCGGCUCGUCGCAUCCUGGGGCUGUAGUCGGUCCCAAGGGUUGGGCUGUUCGCCCAUUAAAGCGGCACGCGAGCUGGGUUCAGAACGUCGUGAGACAGUUCGGUCCCUAUCCGUCGCGGGCGUAGGAAAUUUGAGAGGAUCUGCUCCUAGUACGAGAGGACCAGAGUGGACUUACCGCUGGUGUACCAGUUGUCUUGCCAAAGGCAUCGCUGGGUAGCUAUGUAGGGAAGGGAUAAACGCUGAAAGCAUCUAAGUGUGAAACCCACCUCAAGAUGAGAUUUCCCAUGAUUAUAUAUCAGUAAGAGCCCUGAGAGAUGAUCAGGUAGAUAGGUUAGAAGUGGAAGUGUGGCGACACAUGUAGCGGACUAAUACUAAUAGCUCGAGGACUUAUCCAA
rnacentral:rRNA from 1 species